GACGAACGCUGGCGGCGUGCUUAACACAUGCAAGUCGAACGGAAAGGCCUCUUUCGGGGGGUACUCGAGUGGCGAACGGGCGAGUAACACGUGAGUAACCUGCCUUUGACUUUGGGAUAACUUCAGUAAAGUGGGGCGAAUAAAGGACAGGAGCUCCUGUUGCACGGUGGGGGUUGGAAAGUUUCGGCGGUUGGGGAUGGACUCGCGGGGUAUCAGCUUGUUGGUGGGGUAGUGGCUUACCAAGGCUUUGACGGGUAGACGGACUGUGAGGGUGAACGGCGACAUUGGGACUGAGAUACGGCCCAGGCUCGUACGGUAGGCAACAGGGGGGAAGAUUGCAGAAUGGGUGGAAGCCUGAUGCAGAAACGCCGUGGGCGGGAUGACGGCCUUCGGGUUGAAAACCGCUUUCGCACAUGACGAAGCUUUGUGUGACGGUAGUGAGUAAAGAAGCACCGGCUAACUACGUG
rnacentral:rRNA from 1 species